GGUGGCUCAGUGAUAGAGUGUUUGUCUUGAAUGCAUAAGGCCCUGGGUUCAAUUCCUCAGCACCA
rnacentral:tRNA from 1 species